rnacentral:rRNA from 1 species
AUUGAACGCUGGCGGCAGGCCUAACACAUGCAAGUCGAGCGGAUGAAGGGAGCUUGCUCCUGGAUUCAGCGGCGGACGGGUGAGUAAUGCCCAGGAAUCUGCCUGGUAGUGGGGGAUAACGUCCGGAAACGGGCGCUAAUACCGCAUACGUCCUGAGGGAGAAAGUGGGGGAUCUUCGGACCUCACGCUAUCAGAUGAGCCUAGGUCGGAUUAGCUAGUUGGUGGGGUAAAGGCCUACCAAGGCGACGAUCCGUAACUGGUCUGAGAGGAUGAUCAGUCACACUGGAACUGAGACACGGUCCAGAGUCCUACGGGAGGCAGCAGUGGGGAAUAUUGGACAAUGGGCGAAAGCCUGAUCCAGCCAUGCCGCGUGUGUGAAGAAGGUCUUCGGAUUGUAAAGCACUUUAAGUUGGGAGGAAGGGCAGUAAGUUAAUACCUUGCUGUUUUGACGUUACCAACAGAAUAAGCACCGGCUAACUUCGUG